UUUUUUUUUUUUUUUUGUCUUUUUGCUAUUUCUUUGGGCCGCUCCCUCGGCAUAUGGAGGUUCCCAGGCUAGGGGUCGAAUCGGAGCUGUAGCCACUGGCCUACGCCAGAGCCACAGCAACGCGGGAUCCGAGCCAUGUCUGCAACCUAUACCACAGCUCACGGCAACGCCGGAUCCUUAACCCACUGAGCAAGGGCAGGGACCGAACCCGCAAACUCAUGGUUCCUAGUCGGAUUUGUUAACCACUGCGCCACGACGGGAACUCCCAGGGAGUCUUUUUGAUGUUUCAGCCUAAAGUCAGCAUGUUUGAGGAAGAGUCCAAAGCCCAGCCAUUUCCAAACAGUUAUUCCUGAUGUUUCUUUAUGGCUUCUAGUGACUAGUACCUCUGGGGUAGGAAGAAAACUGGCCCAUCUGUCAGUGUGUGUGUAAUUCUCAUGAGAGGAUUUCUAUUUCCAUUCUCCCUCUUCAACUCUCUAGCACCCCAAUCCCAGAUGCCCUAACCCUUUAGGCCUGACUUCUCAAGUUUUUCAAGUAGUUGUAAGGAGCUUUUCACCUAUUCUAGCCAAAACGAGACCAAAGGGAGAAAGUCAGCUGUGAGAUGAAAAGACAAGCACAUUCAGGGACACACUAUACAACAUUCAUUUCACAAAUAUUUAUUGUGUCCUAACCUGUGCCAGGCACUGGGCUAGCUAGCCUUGCAGCCAAAGCCAGGGGGCUUGUGGUAAGCCAGCGUGAGGUAAAAGGUCACAGAACUGAACUCAGCUCCACAGCACCAUCUGGAAAAGGCUAAGCGUCGCGCUCUCCCCCUACGCAGGAGGAAGCAUAACAUUGCAGGACCACACGAAGGCCCAUAAGGGAACUCACUUUAGAAAGUCAGGGUCCCAGAUAAUUGUAUUUUUCUCAUAAGGGAAUUAAAUGGAUUUCAGGCUGGGUUAGCAAACUGAACCUAAUUCCUGACAAGCCCGUGUGAAUGAUGAGCAGGACUCCGAAUUACAUUGCUAGAGGCGUACAGGGCAUGCCUUCAAUCAUCAGUAAAGGGGGGUUCCUGGAGCCAGAAGUUUUCACUGAAGUCUUUACCCACCUUCCUCUACUCCUGGUGAGCUGUCAAAGGGCCUCUCCAGAACCUAAGAAACAGAUACAGUUGAGUUCAGCCUUCCAUUCACCUCCUUUUUCCUCCUCAUUGCCUGAUACAAUGUCACAGCUGGAAGAGUUACAAUCACCUGGACCAGUCUCCCAAGAGGCAUUUUAUCCAACAUCAUAAAGCUGGGAGACAGGCUUCUCCUUUGUGUGGGAUAGUCCAGACUGGAGAAGAGGGCCCAGAGUCCUUGAAAACCUCAUAGAAAUGGCUGAUGAUGAGGAACUGGCUGAAGACAGAAAUAAUCAUUAACUUUGCUUAGUGGUGCCCAAUAAACAAGCUCAGUAGACGAGUGAGAAGGCAAGGGAACAAGAAUCAAACUUAGGAUCCAGGGACUCAGAUGACCUCAGAGGACACUGUACUGCCUCAGGCCACUCUAAGGAAUGAACAGCUUCUAACUGGGCCUGGGUAGACGGCCAUUCCUCACUGGCACUCAUGUCUGGCCUGAAAAGGUGACUGGGGGAAAGGGGGCAGAUUUUUAUCCAGGCAACCGCCCUGGGUGUGGACACUGAGUAAUAAGGAAAGAAAUGCAGUUCAGAAGCAAAAAGGGAGGAGCCACACACUCUGAGCUUUUCUGAGAAACCAAAGCGGCUAGCAAACUAUGCAGCUAAAAAGAUGACUGGGGAAGGAGAAAGCUGAUCAAAGUGGAAGCUCAAGGAAAAGGAUGAGGACUUCGGGUUACGCCUUUGAAGGAAAAAAAGAGGCGGCUUUAUGAGAGUAAGUUAAUUCAGGUCAUGGGAGUGAGACUGAGCAAAGUUAUUAGUACAGAGAGGUGGAGCCUAACAAUGUGAGUCAAAAGCCAGCUGGAUAGGUGGGGGUGGGGGAAGUCCAUGACAGGGUAGGCCCCUCCCACGGCAGAGGGGCUGGACCAAGGUCUAGAGUCACAGCCAAUUCCAGUUCACACCUAAAAGCAAGACUGCAGAUCACAUCUUUAAAACCCAAGAGAUCAGCUACCUGUGUCAGUCAAUGAUGCCUUCUCAGAAGAGUAGGUGAGGCCCAGAGCAACGGCCUCUUACUGGCUGUACUGCCUCGAUCCGGGGCUCAGCUCCAUGCUUGCAACCAGAUUUCACACCAAGGGACUGGGGCCUGGCAGGAGAAUCUAUACUGGGCAGUGCUGGGGACCCUCUUAGGACUCUCCAGGAGCCACAUUCCAGCCAGUGCCUCUUCUCCCACUUCUAGGCUGGGGGCUGCGAUAGUACGCACCCCUGUCCCCCAGCCCCCAGCUCGCCUGAUGCUCUAUUGCUGUCACAGACACUGCAGAUGGCACUGCUAGGGCUCACCAGUCCUCUCUCUAGAGUUACUCCAUGAUAACUCCGAAACAUUCACUAAACACAGUUAGGCCCUUAAGACUUACACUAUACACCAACAUAAAUUCAAGUGUUAAAUGUAAAAAUGAAUGCCAAAAACAGCCAAACAUUCUUCUGCUCCAAGGGUGGUGAAAGAGUUUCCACACAUAAAGGCAAACAAAGAAAACAUAUAGGAACAGUUUGACAGACUUGAUUACAUAAACCCUCUAAAAGCUCCUUGACUGUAAAAACAAAACAAAAUCACCAUAAACAAAAGGAAAAAGUAAAUAACAAAAUGGAGGGAAAUAUUGGCAAGAUGUGCCCUUGUGAUUUCAAUAGCAAAAACAACACUUGGAGAGAAAAAUGAACAUUGACUGAAUUUAAUUUAAAAUUCAUAAAAUAUAUGAAUAUUUAUAACAUAAACAUAUGUAUGAAAAUGACUGACCUCGCCAGUUUUGUAAUAAAAUCAAAAGAAUGAAAAUAUUCCUGCGGCUCAGUCAGUAAGGAUUUUUAAAACUACCCUUCCAGUGCUAUCGAGGGUGUGGUAAAAACAGGCACUUGUGGGAAUGUAAAGCAGCACAACUUUUUCACAAGCAAAUUGGCCAAUAUAUACAAAAAAGCCUUUAAAAGAGUUACUAUCUUGGAGUUCCCGUUGUGGCUCAGUGGGUUAAGAAUCUGAGUAGUGUCCAUGAGGAUGUGGUUCGAUCCCUGGACUUGAUCAGGUUAAGGAUCUGGUGUUGCCGUGGCUGUGACGAAGACCCAAGGCUGCAGCUCUGAUUCAACCUUUAGCCUGGGAACCUCCAUAUGCCACAGGUGAGGCCCGAAAAAGGAAAAAAAAAAAAAGUCAUUAUCUCUUCUGCUUCAGUUAUAUAUAUACACAUGUAUAUAUGUAUAUAUUUUUUUAUAUAUAUAUUUUUUUUAUUUUUAUUUUUUCCCCUGUUUUGGCUAUCUCACGGCAUAUGUUUUGGCUGGCCCAUGGCAUAGCCUUCCUGGGCCAAGGAUCAGAUCCUAGCCACAGUUGUAACCUAUGCUGCAGCUGUGGCAACGCUGGAUCCUUAUCUACUGUGCCAGGCCGGGGACUGAACUUGUGUUCCUGCGCUCCAGAGAUGCUGCUGAUCCCGUUGCACCACAGUGGGAACUCCUGCUUCAGUAAAUCUUAUACAAAUUUUUACCCUAAAGCAGUAAGAACACACAUAAAGAUGUCUGUACGAAGAUAUUGCUAAAGCAUUAUUUACAAAAGGAAAAAUCAGAAAACCUACAUUUCCAACGAGGAACAAUCGUUUUUGUGAAAUGAUACUCACCAUGCAGCAUGUGAAAAAGAAAGGGCUGUUAAUAAACCAAAAUACUGACAGUGGUUGUCUUUGGGCAGUGUAAUUACUGGUAAUUUUUAUUUUCACAAGCUUUCUGACACACAGAUUAAUUUUAUAGCCAGAAAAAGGUUAUCACAACAUAUUGCUAAAUGAAAAUGAUUAUCAAACAGAAACACAGAACACGAUCCCGCAUUUGUUGUUUAAAAAUAUACGUGCAUAUAAAAAUACUAAGAUAUAUAACAAAAUAUAAAAUAACUCCAUUUGAGUAGUGGAAUUGUAAAGUUUUAUUCAUUAUUUUCUAAAUUCAUUAUAAUAAAAACAUCACUUUUGUAAAAUAAAAUUAUGUUAAGGGGGGGAAAGUGCUGUGCUUUGUUAGGCAGGGCCGCCUAUCUCCUGACGGCAACUAACGUGACCUGUUACUGUAGGUCUACUUCUCAUCCUAGUCUUUCUUCCUGUUUCUUCACCUCUUGCUCCCAAACCCAUCUAAAUCUGCACUUUCUGCUGCUUAGCUCUGAACUGCCCCAGAAACGGUUCAGGCCACCGUCAUGGUCCAGGUGAGAGACAUGGAAUGGCACAAGGCGGCGGUACUACAGAUGGAGAGGCUGGGCCGGACUGGGGGGAUCUUUCUAAGAUGGAAGACUUUAGAACCUGGUGGUGAAGGAGAGGGAGAAGCAGAGAUUUCUCAUCUCAAGAGCUGGGUGGGUGGUGGCCAAGACUAUAGGAGAGAAGCAAGUACAGACAAGUUGAGUGUGACACAGCUGCAGUCCUGGGGGGCGGCGGGGGGGGGGUGUCCGAUGGGUGGUUAGGUACAUGGAUUUUGAAAGUUCAGGGAAGGUCUAGAUUGGGGCAUGCUGAGUGUAGGAGUGAGCAGUACGGAAGUCCCGGAGUGGAGCAGGGCAGCCGUGAGUGGGAGAAAAGGGCAAACAAGGUCUGUGGAUAGAAUCUUUGGGAUUCGCCCUUUAAGAAGUGAGGGGGCCUCUUAAAAAAGAAGGGUAGGCAGCAACCAGGCUUCAGUAGCUGAAAUAAACAAGUUAGGAAAGUGGAGACAGCAAAUAUUUAGACAGUUCUAACACUUGGUGGUAGAAGAGGUCACAAACUGAUGGUCUACCAGGUUUCUAUAAAAUACUGAAUUCCUUGUCAGGAUUUACAAUUAAAUAAAUUUCUCAAGGUUCCCAUUGUGGUGCAGUGGAAACGAAUCCAACCAGCAUCCAUGAGCUGUGGUGUAGGUCACAGAUGCGGCUUGGAUCCCACGUUGAUGUGGUUGUGGAAUAGCCGGCAGCCAUAGCUCCGAUUUGAUCCCUAGCCUGGGAACUUCCACAUGCUAUGGGUGCAGGCCUAGAAAGCAAACAACAACAAAAAACCCCAAAAAACUCAUACAUCUGGAUUUCUGGCUUCCCUCAAAAAAUCAGAAGACUCAGGGAGUUCCCUGGUGGUCCAGUGGUUAGGAUUUGGCCCCUUUACCACUAAGGCCUGGGUUUAAUCCCUGGUCUGGGAACUGAAAUCCCACAACGAGUGGCUGCAUGCUGAGGCCAAAAAAACCCCCAGAAGACCUAUCAACACUGGGCAGCUAUUUCUCCAUGGCAAUAACAAGCAGGAAUUGAAUAAAAAGCUGCCUCCUUUUAGUUGGAGCAUGAGUUCUAGCCCUUCUUGCUCUCGGUGUAGAAGAUGAGGAAAUAUUUCCCUUUGUGAAUGAAAACCCUCCUUAGUGCUCAUCUAUUGUUCACUGAGAUACAGGCCAGAGUUUGGUCCAUAAGCCCCCAUAUUUGGACCUGAAGGCAGGAAUCCUGGGACAAACAUAUCUGAAUUAGGGAUCCUGACAGGACUGGGAAUCCUCUUAUCCAGGAAGAGAUGUCAAGCUUCUAGAAUUACAAAUUGACGGGAGCAGGCCCUGCCUCACCCACUGUCCCAGGCUCAAGAGUACACUCUGGGCAGCCUUCUCUUUUAGAGCAGCAGCAGCAAAAGUGUUCCCUGAGAGUGGGCUGGCCACUGGACCCAGUCAAGCCUCCCCAGCUGGGAAUUUCCUGGUUCUAGCUCUUAGACCCUGGGCCACACGCCCUGAAUGGGUCCACCAGAUGGCAGGCAGCCUUUCCUUUCCUACAGAUGUACCCAGUCCAUUCCCCAACCUGAGGAAAAUGAUUUGCUAUUCUUCUGACUCUUGUUACCUUAUCCAGCAAGCUCAGAAAGUACAUCAGUUUCACAUUCUCUAAGUGAAAUAUCUGGUGCUGCUUAUUAAAAAAAAAAAAAAAAAAAAAAAAAAAAAAAA
rnacentral:lncRNA from 1 species